UAUGAAAGGUAAUAGUGUUAGAGAGGUAUAGGUUUGGGCGAUGUUGUGUUGGUUGGGGGUGUGUUUUUUAAAGUAUUAUUUUUUUUUUGGGUAUUUGAAGAGGUUUAUUAUGGAAGAUUUUGUGUAGUUGAGAUAUUUUAAUUAUAGGUGUGUGUUUUAUAUUAAUUUAUUGGAAUGUGAAUUUUUUUGGGGUUUUUGAAGUAAUUUGGAAAUUAGUAAGAUGAA
rnacentral:misc_RNA from 1 species